rnacentral:ncRNA from 1 species
ACGCCCACAAUGUCGGUCUAGGGAAAGCAUGCUUGGAUAGCAUGCCGGGACCGGGGUGGAGGUGGGUUGAAAAAAAAAUAGCCAAAUGCCUCGUCAUCUAAUUAGUGACGCGCAUGAAUGGAUUAACGAGAUUCCCACUGUCUAUGCCUGCUAU